GAUUUUCAGUUUCUAGGCCAGAGUCUAAUACAGCAGAUCAGCUAGCUUCCUCCUAUUAUAAAAAUCUUUUGGAAAAUACUCACAUUUUGGGUAUACUAAAAUAUUUCUCAUAGACAAUUGCCUUAUAUGAGAUGUUAUUAGGAAACUAUUACUCGUUAAAUAUCAUGCACAUCUGUUUCAUUGGACAGUAUGUAAAAUAACUAAAUUACUGCAAGUUGACAUCAAUUCAGAAAUUACAAUUACAGACCAAAGACUGAGGUACUGGGAUAUAAGAAUGUGCAAGACACAAGCAAUGCAUUAGUGAGAAUAGGUUAGAUUUUGCUGCUUUUAAGACCCCACAUUCUUGUGGCUUAAAAUUUUA
rnacentral:lncRNA from 10 species